rnacentral:lncRNA from 1 species
AAUUGAUGUGGUAACAACGCUCGAAACGUUCGCCGCAAGUCCACACACAGUUUUUUUUUUCAACUGAAAAAAGCAAAACUUUUGAAAAAGUGCAAAAAAUCAUUUACCGAAAAAGCAUCCCUGCGUAGUGUUUGCUAUAAAAACUCAAUAAAAACCAAAAAUUUGUGUUGUGAAAGUGCGCUUUUGUGGCAAAUUGUAACGGUACGCCAAAACUAACGUGCAACAAAAGAAAAUACUCACACCAUUUGCUGGCUGCUGUGUGUCGAGACUCCUUUGAAGUGUUUUCGAAAUAUACACAUAUAUAUUGUAAAUAAAUAUAUGUUCCGUAUAUAAUGCGAAAAGCAGUGCAAUAGAAAACAAAAACGAAAAUUCAAGCAAAAACGGGCAAUCUCAAUAUAUGAAAAAAAUAACUGCAAAUAAGUGCCGCAUCCUUGCUGUGCAACAAGAAAAUAGAGAAAAAUAUAUAUAAUUUCGUUGAAAAUUAAAAAAAAAAUUGCGAAAUUUUGCAAACUACAAAAAGUGCUGGAAAAGUACGAAAAAGUGUUUUGAAAUUUUUUUUGAAAAUAUAUUCAAUUUGCUUUUUGAUAUUUGAAAAGCUGAAAGAAACUUUCAUAAACCACUAACAACUGGAUACUUUUUGCCAUUUGGAUACGCUUAGCGGAUUUGCAGUUUCUUAAAUCAGUGCUAGAAGCGCUGCUACACGCUGCCCAAGCAAUCAAUUAUUGUUGUUGCAGCAUCAAACAAAGCUCAUUGGCCGCAGAAAGGCACUUUUCAAAGCAAA